rnacentral:lncRNA from 1 species
AGAGCAGGCCAAAGCCUCCAGGCUUCCUCAAGCCAGGGGCAGGAAACCCUGUGUGCAGGGGUUUUGUUUGUUUCUUUUUCCAGCACUGGGAACGGAACCCAGGGCCUUCUUUGUGUUAAGCAAGUUCUCUCCCACUGCGAGGCUUGCCCUCAGCAAUCUCCAGCCCCUUUUAUUUCUUUCUUGAGACAAGGUCUCUCUGAAUCGCCCAGGCUGGCCAUGAGCUGUGACCCUCCUGCCUCAGGCUCCCUAGUAGAUGGGAUGGCAGGCCUGGGUCAUGGGUAUUUUAUCUGAGCUCCUUCUUUUCCAGAUCCUGGUCCCCAGUCUCUCUGGCAUUUCCCGCGUCAAUUCCUGUGCUGCGAGAGAUUAGCAAAUAUGUGUUUCUUAUUGUGGUAAAACAUACAUAACAUAAAAUCCACAGUCUGCACCAUUUCAAAGUGCAAUUCGAUGGCAGGGAGACUGAGGCUGAGCACGUGCCUACCCAUCUGGCCUGCACUUCUCCAAUCCCACCCCAGCCCUGCACUCGGCAUGCGGUCACCUCAGUACUGCAUCUCAUGUUGUGCACAGUGGGGUUUUCAAUUUUAUUGGUUGUAGCCAUCAGUGUUCUCCCUGUGACUCUGUCCCACUCCAGGGCCUGCUUGCCUUACCCUCUACAGAGUUCACUAUUCAGCUGUGUUUGCUCCUGGUUUUCUUCUUUAGGGUUCUGAUCAACUUUAUGGAUGUAUAUUAUGUAUAUUUUACCACGAUAAGAACAUAUUUGCUGCUGGGCACUGUGGCGCACACCUGUAAUCCCAGUGGCUCGAGAGCCUGAGGCAGGAGGAUCACGAGUUUAAAGCCAGCCUCAGCAAAUUAGCAAGGUGCUAAGCAAUUAACUCAGUGAGACCCUGUCUCUAAAUAAAAUACGCAACAGGGCUGGGGAUGUGGCUCAGUGGUUGAGUACCCCUGAGUUCAAUCCCUGGUACUCCCCCCCACCCCGCCAAAAAAAAUUUGGAAAGUCAGCCAGGGCUGGUGGUGCACAUCUAUGAUACCAGAGGCUCAGGAGGGGAGGCAGGAGGAUCACAAGUUCAAGGCCAGCUAUACACACACACACACACACACAUAUACAUAUGCGCCUAUAUAUACAAAGUCCCAUCACCCCAAACAGUUUUCCCUGGUGUUCAUUCUCCCCCACCCUCAUACCUUCAUUCUAGACCACAUCUGCUUCUGGUCAUCACCAUCUGGUUUGGCCUUCUCUAAAGUUUUAAAUAAAUGAGAUCAUCUGGAACACACCCUUA